UACGUAGGGUGCAAGCGUUUGUCCGGAAUUAUUGGGCGUAAAGAGCUCGUAGGCGGUUUGUCGCGUCUGCUGUGAAAACCCGAGGCUCAACCUCGGGCCUGCAGUGGGUACGGGCAGACUAGAGUGCGGUAGGGGGAGAUUGGAAUUCCUGGUGUAGCGGUGGAAUGCGCAGAUAUCAGGAGGAACACCGAUGGCGAAGGCAGAUCUCUGGGCCUUACCUGACGUG
rnacentral:rRNA from 1 species